CACACGGCGGGUGCUAACGUCCGUCGUGAAGAGGGAAACAACCCAGACCGCCAGCUAAGGUCCCAAAGUCAUGGUUAAGUGGGAAACGAUGUGGGAAGGCCCAGACAGCCAGGAUGUUGGCUUAGAAGCAGCCAUCAUUUAAAGAAAGCGUAAUAGCUCACUGGUCGAGUCGGCCUGCGCGGAAGAUGUAACGGGGCUAAACCAUGCACCGAAGCUGCGGCAGCGACGCUUAUGCGUUGUUGGGUA
rnacentral:rRNA from 1 species